GGGCCAUGUCUGUUGUGCUGCUCAGGUAGGUUGGAGACUGUGGGGAUCAGCUGACACAGUAUCCAGGGCCGGUGCAAGGAUAUUUUGCACCCUAGGCGAAACAUCCACCUUGUGCCGGAACAUCGCUUAUUAUAACUUUUCAAAAAUGAAUUCAGUGGAGUCACAUCUUACGCGGGGGUUAGGUUCUAAGGUCAGCGCAUAAGAGGAAAAUCACGUAUAGUGAAAGGUACAGUACACACAGUAUACACUAGAACAGGGGUCUUCAGCCUACGGCACGCAUGCCAAAGGUGGCACACGAGCUGAUUUUUAUUUAUUUUUUUAAUGGCAGGCUGCGGGUCCCGGCCGCCGCUGAGCCUGCUGCCAGCCUGGGUUCCGUUCACUCAGCUGCCCGCCGGGGUCCCAGCCGGCGGCUCAGCUCAGCCUCCUGCCAUUCACUCAGUUCUAAUGUAUACUGUACUUUAUGGUAAUUUUCACUAUACACGAUUUUCCUCUUACAUGGUGACUUUAGAACCUAACUCCCACAUAAGAUGUGACUCCACCGUAGUGUAAAAAAAAAUUGGGAGGCACAUGACAGCCAGUGGUGGAUUUAGAGUUGAUCAGCUACUAGACCAACAAAUAAAAGGCCAGGUGUCCAAUUGCUCCCCGAGUGGCUAAUUCAUGUUUUUCUGUGCCAGGUGUUUCUUUGGUGCAAAUACAACAGGGAUCAGAUUAGAAGACUUGUGCCAAAACCAGAGAGGUAGCCAGCCAACGCCCAAGGGGCUGAACCAACCUGCCAGUCAGAGCAGUGAGAGUCGGGGAAGUGGAGGUGGGGGAAGGGAAGGCAGGAUUCUAGCUCGAGUUGCAUUAACCCUUGUUUCAAGAAAAAGUUCCCGUGCAGCCCCGUACUCAGGAAAAGGACUAGCCAGCACAGGCAGAUAGUGGGCAGAGGGGUUGUUCCUAGAGCUCUGUGUCUUUUGCAAAUGGAAAGUAACACAAAAUAAAACAAACUGCAGCGGCGGCUUCUGUCCCACGGGGCUGGACCCAGCAACCCCUUCUGGGCGUUGUGAUCUGGCACCACAGAUCACAGAACUGCUCCGGUUAGGCCUGGCCACCCUUUGGUCAUGGGGGGGGAGGCCAAAUUUGUGUGAGUGGCUUUGCAGCCUGGCGCAGGGAGUCACAGCACCAUUCACUCAACUUCGGCCCUGCCAUCCCUCCGUCAUCAUUGCUCUGCAACACCCCGCAUCCAUGGGGCUCCCAUCCUGGGGGCAGGGCCUACCUCCCCCACCCCCUGAGAUCUCCCCCCCCUCAAGGGCAGGACCUGACUCCCUCCCCCAUGAUAAAGUGAAACAACACAAAAUCCCCCCCCCCCAAGGAAAAAAUAAUUUGACAGCAGUGCUAGUGGUUUCCAACCGGCGCUUAAAGCACGUUUGUUUUCAUCUUUCAUUCCCAGCAGAGCUCAUGUGAAGAUAUUUUGAACAGCUGCACAAACCACUGUGAUUGGAGUCACACGUUCGUGUCCCAAGUAGGUGGGGCCUAGCAGGUGGGCAGAGCCUGGUCACGAACCACUAGUCCUGCCUCUGCAAUUCAAGCCCUCUGAAUUCUACUAGGACUUUCUUAUGUAACUAAGCACAUUUAUUGUUUCAGGGAAGAUGUGGGGGAGAGGGGGCAGAGGACUGGAUUGAGACAGGAGGUGCCUAGAUACUCUGGUGAUGGGCAGAGACAGAUAGAUACUUGUUUUAUCUGUAAUGGUGUGUUUCUGUAAAAUUACUGCAGUAUUGUCACCCCAGUUGCUCCAGCUCUGGUGAAAGUUAAUCUAGUGCACAAGCCAUUCCAGUGUGGAGCAGACGCCUGGCACUCUGCAGUGUAAGGCUGGACAGUCUUAAAGGGUCAAUGACAGAAUAUUUUACCACCAUCCUGGAAACAUUUUCUGCCCCUCCUUUUCCUAACCUUGUUGGUGACCAAAAUAUUCCUGUGUAAACAGAAACCUCUUUGGGGUGAUAAUCCCUGUCCUUCCAUCUGACCUGACCCACUCAUUAACACCACCAUUCCGUGUUUAUGACAUCAUAAAGGGUUCCAUGACGGUUGCUUCCGAGGUCUCAGACACAGGAUUCCAUAUCAAGCACCUGAAUGGGGGUGGGGGAGCUGGUUAUGAAUGAGAACACAUCUGUUCCAGGCAAAAGCUUUCUGGAGUCAGCUACAUGAGGACAAAGGGAGAGAGUAAGAGAGAAAAAAGAGAGAGCGAGGAAACAAAGCUUUCCAGGAUUCUGGAGACAAUACAGGUGUAGGUUGGUGGAUCCGGGCAGCUGUGUGCACCUCCCAGUAUGAUCUCAUCUAUUGAUAAAGAAAUUCAGGUCUCAUUGACCCCCGGAGACUCUAUGGAUGACUGGAGAACUAGCAUGUUGAUGACAUCACAGAUCCCAAUGAAGUGAAACCACAUUCGCUGAGAGGGGAAAUUGGUUUUAUUCAGCCUCUUUAACCCUGGCUCCGGUUUGGUUUUUGUAUCGCCCGUUUAACUCAAACACCCAGCAAAAAGAUAGAAGAGAUGACAGUUUUGUUAAAGAUUCAUAUUCCCCUGACCCUUCCAUUAAAGACUGAGAAAAUGGCCAACGCACAUGUGAGACCCCGCCCCUCAGAAGGGUAAAGGCACAGUGCAGAGGAAUAGCAUCACCACUUCAAGCUGUAUACACAGCAAAGGGCUGACAAUUGUUCCCUCGUGGUGAUGGAAACGCUGCUCCCCCAGGAGAGCCAAAGGAGCUGAGAAGUGUAUCCCAGGUGCCCUGUUUGCAUCCUCUGUCCCCAGCAUAGAAGUGUUGACCCGCAGGCUGCCAGGAGCUGGGGUGGGUUGAUGGCUCUGACGCUGAUGUAACUUCCCAGCUAGUGGACUUACUGUCCCUGGGGCUCAAAACUCACUGCCCCAAACUGAAUUGAGCCCUAAGCCUUUAUACAAUCUACCACUCAGUUGCUGAUAAAUAAAAAAGACUCUGGGCUUUCUGUUGUCAUUUACAAUGGUGCAAAGUGAGUGUAUAACGCCACCAAAUCUUGGAUGAGAUUUUCAAAGCCCCCAAAGGACACCUAUUUCCCAGUCACGCAGUUGAAUGGGAACCGGCUGUUCAAAUCUCUUCGGUGCCUUUGAGGAUGUCAGCCCUACUCUCUCUCAGAAGGCAAAUGAAAAGAACCCACUAUUAUUAUUUUUUUACUCCCUUCAUUUUAAAGACAAUCUCGAGAUUUUGACCCCUUGAGGUUGGAAAUGCUGCCGUACAGCACUCGUGAAAGGGUUUCCUGCCACGUGACCACCCACCAGCUGAGAACUGGGAGCGUUCAUGUGAUCUGUCAAUGUUCAGUGCUAUCAGAUGAUUAUUUUUUUUGGACUCCCCAAUUUCAGAUAAGUUGUGUUUCCUUAUUAGGCUGUCAGUGCAUCGUUUGAACCUGGAACCUUGGUUACUUUCAGUGCCAGGGUGGCGUUAGUCCAGUGGCAGAGGGGCAGAGUUAGAACCUUAGUGUAGUUCGGGGCGGGGGGUGUUAGAACCUGGGUUUGUUUCAGUGGCAGGGGGGCAGUGUUACCCCCAGGUUGAUAAAGAUUUUUCAUGGAAUUCGGGAGUGCAAAAGACCAUUGUACCGCCAACAUAGUUCAGAAGCGUUUUGUUAGCUCAGAGGCAGAAUUUCCAGACAGAAUGUUUGUUGUUUAUGUUAGAGAUGGACAAAGCUCUGUGGGAGGAGUGGGCUUGGGUCUGGUUCCUGUAUUUAGAUGAAACCAUACCCCCCCCCCUCUCAUGCCACAACCUUAGGAAAGUGGGAGCAUUCAGAGAGAUGGUUCAGGUGUUGCUCCAGCUGGUUUAUUUAUAUAUGGCUCUAUCCCCAUCUGUGCUGAAUUACCAAUCCUUUGAGUUGAUUUAUGUGUGUCCUUAUUGCCUCAUUCUCAAUCAGGCUCAUUCUUGCUUUCCUUUAUUUUUCCAAUCCUUCCUUCUGGGCUGCUGUGUUAAUCACCUGAGAUGAGAGAAGCUGUCUGUUGUCAUGACGACUCCAUCUCUGCUCUGGGCUUCCCGUGCCCAGAGGCCUGCUGGUUUUUGUGAGCUGUCAUUGGAGAGAGAUGGGUCAGCGGAGGAAAAAGAGCUGUGACAAAUUAGACAGCAGUUGCUGUUCCAAAGCUCUUUAGCUGCUGAUAAAUGGAGCGGAGACUGCAAGCGACUCCAGAGGAGCCAGUGAGGCUUUCAGAUCGGGCGUGUGUGUUGUGAUUAGCAGAUGGUGGGAUGAACCCGGGUUUCAUUUGUGUCCUCAGCCCUCAAGCUCGCUGUGAUACAGACAGGAAGGGGUGGGACUGACUGGCCGGCAAGGUCAGGCAGAGAUGUACAGUACUGAUGAGGAGAUCUUAAUCAGAGAUCAUAGUACACUCUCCUCUCAAAUGGACUGGAAUAAAGCUAUUAAGCUAAUAUAACAUCAUGGAGGAAGGACGUUCUGUUGAUGCAAUCUCUGGGGAAUCUCAGCCGG